GCCAGGCAUGGUGGCGCAUGCCUGUAAUCCCAGCUACUAGGGAGGCUGAGGCAGGAGAAUCUCUUGAACCCAGGAGGCAGAGGUUGCAGUGAGCCAAGAUUGCACCACUGCACUCCACUCCAGCCUGGGCAACAGAGUGAUACUCUGUCUUAA
rnacentral:SRP_RNA from 1 species